UCAUCAUGCCCCUUAUGACCUGGGCUACACACGUGCUACAAUGGUUGGUACAACGAGUCGCAAGCCGGUGACGGCAAGCUAAUCUCUUAAAGCCAAUCUCAGUUCGGAUUGUAGGCUGCAACUCGCCUACAUGAAGUCGGAAUCGCUAGUAAUCGCGGAUCAGCACGCCGCGGUGAAUACGUUCCCGGGCCUUGUACACACCGCCCGUCACACCACGAGAGUUUGUAACACCCGAAGUCGGUGAGGUAACCUAUUAGGAGCCAGCCGCCUAAGGUGGGAUAGAUGAUUGGGGUGAAGUCGUAACAAGGUAGCCGUAUCGGAAGGUGCGGCUGGAUCACCUCCUUU
rnacentral:rRNA from 1 species